rnacentral:rRNA from 1 species
CUACGGGGGGCUCCAGUGAGGAAUAUUGCACAAUGGGGGGAACCCUGAUGCAGCAACGCCGCGUGGAGGAUGACGCAUUUCGGUGUGUAAACUCCUUUUAUAUGUCAAGAAAAUGACGGUAGCAUAUGAAUAAGCACCGGCUAACUCCGUGCCAGCAGCCGCGAUGUAGAUACGGAGGGUGCAAGCGUUACUCGGAAUCACUGGGCGUAAAGGACGCGUAGGCGGGUUGGAAAGUCAGGUGUGAAAUCCUACAGCUUAACUGUAGAACUGCACUUGAAACUUCUAAUCUAGAGUAUGGGAGGGGAGAUGGAAUUAGUGGUGUAGGGGUAAAAUCCGUAGAUAUCACUAGGAAUACCUAAAGCGAAGGCGAUCUCCUGGAACAUUACUGACGCUAAGGCGUGAAAGCGUGGGGAGCAAACAGGAUUAGAUACCCUAGUAGUC